rnacentral:rRNA from 1 species
CAGUCGCCGCGGGAAAACGGAGGGUGCAAGCGUUAAUCGGAAUUACUGGGCGUAAAGCGUGCGUAGGCGGUUUGUUAAGUCUGUUGUGAAAUCCCCGGGCUCAACCUGGGAAUGGCAAUGGAUACUGGCAAGCUAGAGUGUGUCAGAGGAUGGUGGAAUUCCCGGUGUAGCGGUGAAAUGCGUAGAGAUCGGGAGGAACAUCAGUGGCGAAGGCGGCCAUCUGGGACAACACUGACGCUGAGGCACGAAAGCGUGGGGAGCAAACAGGAUUAGAUACCCGCGUAGUCCCUGUCUCUUAUAC